CUUUCCGGUUUAAAUAUUCUUAGUCUUACAGUUUCCUUAGCAGUCCAUAUCAUCAUCUGAUAUCUAAUCUAAUACAGUCGAUAGUUUGUUACAAUAUAAAUCUAGAGUUUUAACAGGUUGAAACAGCCUCAACAUCCGCUGUUGUCUCAGGGUACUGCUGGUGAGACGAAGAACGGUCUGUAGUGUGUGGCUGUUGACACUUGAAACAUGAGUGCCUCUCAUCAAAACAUUCGGAUGGAUUCGAAAAAAGACGUUCCAAACAUAUUUAUUUUUGCUGGCACUCCACACGUUUUUUUGGUACUUGGUCCUAUGGUUGGCAAUGCUGGAUAGCAGAUAUUACAACCCCAUAUCUUCAGCA